AUGUGGUCCGCUUCCAAGUGCAUCUGCGCGCCGGCCACCCACGCCGGGUCCUUCAAGUGCCGCUUCCACCGCACCAACUCCCAGGGCCAGGGAAGCCGCCCUUCUUCGCCCCCUUCACCGGCCGCGGCCAACGCGGUGCCGCGGCACCCGGCCUCGCCGUUCUCGUCCUCCGGCACCGUCACGACCCAGUGA
rnacentral:rRNA from 1 species